UGGGGAAUAUUGGACAAUGGGCGCANCCNUGAUCCAGCCAUACCGCGUGGGUGAAGAAGGCCUUCGGGUUGUAAAGCCCUUUUGUUGGGAAAGAAAUCCAGCCGGCUAAUACCUGGUUGGGAUGACGGUACCCAAAGAAUAAGCACCGGCUAACUUCGUGCCAGCAGCCGCGGUAAUACGAAGGGUGCAAGCGUUACUCGGAAUUACUGGGCGUAAAGCGUGCGUAGGUGGUCGUUUAAGUCCGUUGUGAAAGCCCUGGGCUCAACCUGGGAACUGCAGUGGAUACUGGGCGACUAGAGUGUGGUAGAGGGUAGCGGAAUUCCUGGUGUAGCAGUGAAAUGCGUAUAGAUCAGGAGGAACAUCCAUGGCGAAGGAAGCUACCUGGACCAACACUGACACUGAGGCACGAAAGCGUGGGGAGCAAACAGGAUUAGAUACCCUGGUAGUCCACGCCCUAAACGAUGCAAACUGGAUGUUGGGUGCAAUUUGGCACGCAGUAUCGAAGCUNACGCGUUAAAGUUCGCCGCCUGGGGAGUACGGUCGCAAGACUG
rnacentral:rRNA from 1 species